rnacentral:rRNA from 1 species
AGGGUUUGAUCAUGGCUCAGGAUGAACGCUAGCGGCAGGCUUAACACAUGCAAGUCGAGGGGUAACAGAGAGUGCUUGCACUUUGCUGACGACCGGCGCACGGGUGCGUAACGCGUAUGCAACCUACCUUCUACAGGGGGAUAGUCAAUAGAAAUGUUGAAUAAUACCCCAUACGAUCUUCGAGAGGCAUUACUUGAAGAAGAAAGCUCCGGCGGUAGAAGAUGGGCAUGCGUCCUAUUAGUUAGUUGGUGAGGUAACGGCUCACCAAGACCGCGAUAGGUAGGGGCCCUGAGAGGGGGAUCCCCCACACUGGUACUGAGACACGGACCAGACUCCUACGGGAGGCAGCAGUGAGGAAUAUUGGACAAUGGAGGCAACUCUGAUCCAGCCAUGCCGCGUGCAGGAAGACUGCCCUAUGGGUUGUAAACUGCUUUUAUACAGGAAGAAACCUACUUACGUGUAAGUAGCUGACGGUACUGUAAGAAUAAGGAUCGGCUAACUCCGUGCCAGCCGCCGCGGUAAUAC